rnacentral:misc_RNA from 1 species
UGCAUCGAACUGCUUCCCUCACUUUCGAUCAGUUGUUGCUCCACGAGAUAAACGUUGGACGCAAGACAUGGGUUCCUGUGUUGCAUACCUAUUGCGACGGAAAUGUGUGCCUUCGAUCGUCCCUUCCAUCACGGCGUCCUCACGGAUGCUCGGUUGGACCGGAUAGUGGGGCUCGUGUUCCACGAACGUCGUCUCAUUCGAUCGUUCGGAUGGACCACGGGUGCCUACUCGUUCUCUCGGAUGCGGAACUCUCUUAAUGGGUGUGGGGUCAUUGGCCCUCGGUCCCUAAUCGUUAAGCGUUUAUCGCUUCACCGGAAUGACGAUCUCGCCUUGUCCUUGACCACGCGAAGCCCUCGGGCAUCGCGAUGGAUCAUGCUCGGCGGACGUCGUGAAGGAAUGC